UAGUUUUUAAAGUUUCCAAGAUCAAGUUUCCAAAAGACUGACAUGGCUUGACUGACUCGACUAGUAAUCCUGAUCACCAUCCUAUGCACUGUGCAAAAUUGGUUUAAUAUUGUCAAUCGAUCGUCCAAAAACAGUCGUUGUGCCAGUGAACAAUAAUUCCACUUCUAAACUGAUAGUACAAGACCGUCAUGUGAAAUACUUCCCAAGUGAGAAGAAAAGGUGAACGAACAGCCGAACGCAUACACAUCAGUCCGCUGAGAUACAUCAAUAUUUAUGCCGAGAAUUUGUAGCAUGCUUCCCAGUCGCCGUCGGAGUCUAAGCCUUAAACCCAUUUAAUUUUAUUACACUUUGCGGACUUUAAGGAACCGAAGAGCGGUUAAAAGGUCUCCCCCAUGGAACCCCAAAAACUCAUCGGGUACACGGAGGCCUGGGCUAAAUUUAAAUCUCCUGAGGGGUGGCUGUGGCUCUAAUUUUGCUAAUACAUUUGAUGAAGUGGAGUGUCCAUACCGCACUUUGGGGAUGGCGGCUGAAUGCUGUUGAAUGAAUGACUGAGAACGCUCUAGUCGAUGGCCUCGACUACCAGAUACCCCUUACUCAGCCAAGGGAGAUAAAGAUUUGCAAGCUGCAAUUACCGAAUUCAAAUCAAGCUUGCGCUGCGCGAGGAUUUUUAGAAUCAGCACGCUGAAUUCCAACAUGCCAGCUUUUAUAUAUUUCGAGAUAUGAUCGUUCAUACGGACGGACAUACUAACGGACAUGGCAAGUUCGACGCUGCCAGUAAUCAAGAUCAAACAAAUAUACACUUUACGGGGUAGGAGCUGGUUCUUCUAUAUGUAAUAUCCUUUC